rnacentral:tRNA from 1 species
GAGGAUGUAGCUCAGUGUCGGAGCACAUGCCUAGCAUGCACAAGGUCCUGGGUUCAAUCCCCAGCACCUCCA